GGAGGUGAUGAUGUUGAACGGAAAGUAGAUCUGAUCAUGGUUAUUAUGGAGGUGAUGAUGUUGAAAGGAAAGUAAGAUCUGAUCAUGGUUAUUAUGGAGGUGAUGAUGUUGAACGGAAAGUAAGAUCUGACCAUGGUUAUUAUGGAAGUGAUGAUGUUGAACGGAAAGUAAGACCUGAUAAUGGUUAUUAUGGAGGUGAUGAUGUUGAACAGAAAGUAAGAUCUGAUCAUGGUUAUUAUGGAGGUGAUGAUGUUGAACGGAAAGUAAGAUCUGAUCAUGGUUAUUAUGGAGGUGAUGAUGUUGAAAGGAAAGUAAGAUCUGAUCAUGGUUAUUAUGGAGGUGAUGAUGUUGAACGGAAAGUAAGAUCUGACCAUGGUUAUUAUGGAAGUGAUGAUGUUGAACGGAAAGUAAGAUCUGAUCAUGGUUAUUAUGGAGGUGAUGAUGUUGAACGGAAAGUAAGAUCUGAUCAUGGUUAUUAUGGAGGUGAUGAUGUUGAAAGGAAAG